CCGUGGAUCUGUGAGGUCGCCCAGCGCUGGCCUGAGUGGAUGCUGCUUUCGCUGGAAGUAGGAAUCAAUCCUGCGGAGAUUUUGUCCACCCGGGCCAGCCAGGGCUAGCGAAAGCCAGCUUCUCCUGGGUGACAGGUGUCUUUUCAGAGAUGCCCCUCGUCUUCAUCUUGAUAGAAAGACUAGGCGCAAAAUUGUAUGCUUCACCUGGUUUGCACCCUGAAUCAACUUACCUUGGGUUGCUUACAGAAUAUAAGAGAAUCACAACUCUCUCUUGGCCUCCCUUGUCACUACUUGAACAAAUAGUGAAAGACUCAACAUUUGACAAGUAAUACUUUGGCCACCUGAUGAGAAGAACUGACUCAUUUGAAAAGACCCUGAAGCUGGGCAAGAUUGAAGGCAGGAGGAGAAGAAGAUUACAGAGGAUGAGGUGGUUGGAUGGCAUCACUGACUCAAAGGACAUGAGUUUGAGUAAGCUCCAGGAGUUGGUGAUGGACAGGGAAGCCUGGGCGUGCUGCAGUCCAUGGGGUCCCAAAGAGUUGGACAUGACUGAGCAGCUGAACUGAACUGAACUGAUGACAAUGUUCAUAAACUUAAAAAUCAAACACACGAACACCACCACCACUGCCAAAGACAACAAGGCUAUGAUCUGAAGGUUUGUGUCUCCUCCAAAAUUCAUACAUUGAAAUCCUAAUCCUGAAUAUGAUGGUAUUAGGAAGUCAGGCCUUUGGAAGGUGAGGAGGGCUGAUCUAUCAUGAAUGGGAUUAUAAGAGAGGCUCCACACAACUUCCUUACUCCUUUUCAUCGUGAGAUAACACAAUGAGAAGGCACCAUCUAUGAACCAGAAAGCAAGAUCUCACCAGACGCUAAAUCUUUCAGGACCUGGAUCCUGACUUCCCAAUGUCCAUAGCUGUAAGCAAUAAAUUUCUGUUGUUUAUGAGCUACCUGCUCUAUGGGACUUUGUUAUAACAGGCCAAAGGGACUAAAACAAACAGUAGCAACACCAACAAAACAAAAUUCAAAACAGAAAAAUAGGAAUGGAAUUUAUAGUGAUGUUUCCCACAAAAUUUUCCACAAACCUAAUUAUGAAUAACCACUUUUAUGCAUUUUUGAAAUAUUAUUUUCAUAAAAAUUGGGAAUUGAGAAAUUGAGCCCAGUGACAUAAGAGGUGUUGCAAUGCCAAGCCAAAAGUCACAAAAUCCUAGAAAUUCUGGCUAAUGAUGGAUUAUGAGUAGCUUACUAACCUGUUGGGAUUUUAAAGCAUGGCUUCCUCUGGAGAGUAAACUGACCAGACCAUUAAUAAAAUG